GAUGAACGCUAGCUACAGGCUUAACACAUGCAAGUCGCGGGGCAGCAUGGGGGUUGCUUGCCAUCCCCGAUGGCGACCGGCGCACGGGUGAGUAACGCGUAUCCAACCUGCCCUUCACCACGGGAUAACCCGGCGAAAGUCGGACUAAUACCGUAUGUUGUCCAUUGACGGCAUCCGAUUUGGACGAAAGGCUUGGCGGUGAGGGAUGGGGAUGCGUCCGAUUAGCCAGACGGCGGGGUAACGGCCCACCGUGGCUACGAUCGGUAGGGGUUCUGAGAGGAAGGUCCCCCACACUGGAACUGAGACACGGUCCAGACUCCUACGGGAGGCAGCAGUGAGGAAUAUUGGUCAAUGGGCGUAAGCCUGAACCAGCCAAGUAGCGUGCAGGAUGACGGCCCUAUGGGUUGUAAACUGCUUUUAUGCGGGGAUAAAGUGGCCCCCGGGUGGGCUUUUGCAGGUACCGCAUGAAUAAGGACCGGCUAAUUCCGUG
rnacentral:rRNA from 1 species